rnacentral:rRNA from 1 species
AGCGAACGCUGGCGGCAGGCCUAACACAUGCAAGUCGAGCGCCCCGCAAGGGGAGCGGCAGACGGGAGAGUAACACGUGGGAACGUACCCUUCAGUUCGGAACAACCCAGGGAAACUUGGGCUAAUACCGGAUACGUCCGUAAGGAGAAAGAUUUAUCGCUGAAGGAUCGGCCCGCGUCUGAUUAGCUAGUUGGUGGGGUAAUGGCCCACCAAGGCGACGAUCAGUAGCUGGUCUGAGAGGAUGAUCAGCCUCACUGGGACUGAGACACGGCCCAGACUCCUACGGGAGGCAGCAGUGGGGAAUAUUGGACAAUGGGCGCAAGCCUGAUCCAGCCAUGCCGCGUGGAUGAUGAAGGCCCUAGGGUUGUAAAGUCCUUUCGGCGGGAAGAUAAUGACGGUACCCGCAGAAGAAGCCCCGGCUAACUUCGUGCCAGCAGCCGCGGUAAUACGAAGGGGGCUAGCGUUGCUCGGAAUCACUGGGCGUAAAGCGCACGUAGGCGGAUUUACG